GUGGAUAUAGCGCAGUUGGUUAGCGCGCCAGGUUGUGGCCCUGGAGGCCGUGGGUUCGAAUCCCACUAUUCACCCCA
rnacentral:tRNA from 2 species